GGAUGUGAGCGGGAUCUGGCUGCAAUAUCUAUCACCCCAUUGAUCGCCAGAGUUGAUUUGGCUGAUCUAGCUGGCUAGGCAGGUGUGCCCUUUCUCCCUAACUGCUCCUUGUGUGCCCUUCUGAAGCUGCAGGCUCAGUCGAAGAGGAUGACCUUCCCCGAUAGAGGAGGACCGUUUUUCAGUCAAGGGUAUAUAAGUAGCUGUGCUCCUCUGCUAGAACCUCCAAAUAAGCUCUCAAGAAACGCCUGCACCAGGUGUUUUGAGGAGAGGAGUGAUAUGAUCAGACUUCUGUUUUAUAAGAACCACUCUCAGUCCUGUGAUGAGAAUAUAC
rnacentral:snRNA from 1 species